AGUAUUUUUAACCGCAUUAUUCCUUCAUAACCUUUUCACGGACUUUUUCCUUUAAACGCGAUGCAUUGUGGGUGCCAUGGUGAGAUGUACGUGCGAUACACGCAGGAGCGGUGAGACAACUCUGCGACCUAAAGACCGAUAACUCAAAGACCCCUUGGAGCUGGUCUCCAGCAUCGGCAAAUAUCUCGGUGACAACACAGACAAACUACUAAUCCACAAAGAGACCCCUACCAGUCCGGCUUCAGACCUGGCCACUUGACAGAGACCGCACUCCUCUCGGUCAGUGAGUCGCUUCACGCCGCACAAGCAGCCUCCCAUUCAUCUGUCCUGAUCCUCCUAGACCUUUCUGCUGCCUUUGACACAGUCAACCACCCCAUCCUCCUGUCCUCCCUGGCAGCUAUUGGGAUCUGUGGCACAGCACUAGACUGGAUUGAGUCCUACCUCUCCGGUCGCUCCUUCCAAGUCGCCUGGGCUGGUGCAGUAUCAGCACCUCGCCCCCUUGCCACAGGAGUUCCCCAGGGCUCUGUCCUUGGUCCCCUCCUAUUCUCCCUGUACACCCAAUCUCUUGGUCCUGUAAUCUCUGCCCAUGGGUUGUCCUAUCAUUGUUAUGCCGAUGACACCCAACUCUUUCUCUCCUUCCCCCCCUCUGACACUCAGGUCUCUGCUCGCAUCUCUGCUUGCCUGAGGGACAUCCAGAGCUGGAUGGAUAACCACCAUCUUAAGCUGAACCCAGGUAAGACGGAGAUGAUCUUCAUCCCUGCUCCAUCCUCUAACCUUCUUGACUUUUCUAUUUCCCUAGGGGACACCGUGGUGUCAUCAUCACCCACCGCAAAAAACCUUGGAGUGGUGAUGGACAACAGACUGUCCCUCUCCCAGAACAUCACGGCGGUGAGUCGAACGUG